AGAACUCCAUUAAUGGGGUUUCCUGGAGAUGGAGCCUGAGUGAAUCCAACAGGCGAGCGGCAGCAAGAUGGUGCCACGGCCACAAUUCCUCAUCCUCCUGGUGUUCUGGGUCUCAGGGCUGUCUGGGGACAUUGUGAUGACCCAGUCUCCAGGCUCCCUGGCUGUGUCUGUAGGAGACAGUGUCACCAUCAACUGCAAGUCCAGCCAGAGUCUUUUCGGUAGCUCCAACCAGAAGAAUUACUUAGCCUGGUACCAGCAGAAACCAGGCCAGGCUCCUAAGCUGCUCAUCUACUGGGCAUCCAGUAGAGCAUCUGGGGUUUCUGACCAAUUCAGUGGCAGUGGGUCUGGGACAGACUUCACUCUCACCAUCAGCAGUCUCCAGGCUGAAGAUGUGGCAGUUUAUUGCUGUCAGCAGGAGUAUAGUUCUCCUCCCACAGUGCUUCAGCCUCAAAGACAAACCUCCUCCCCAAAACCAUGGGUUAGUGAGUCUUUGCUGCACCAGCUGCUGCUUUCCUGCACCUGUUUGAGAGGCCCCUCAGCUAUAAGAGAGGCCAUGUCUCCUGUCUUAAUUGUAGAAGAAUGUGUAAGUCUUAUGGAAUGUUUGAGUAGAUUAGCUUGUUCUGCGUCUCUUGCGGAAGGAAGUCACUCUAUGAAGACUCUGUAA